GAUGAACGCUGGCGGCGUGCCUAAUACAUGCAAGUCGAGCGAAUGGAUUAAGAGCUUGCUCUUAUGAAGUUAGCGGCGGACGGGUGAGUAACACGUGGGUAACCUGCCCAUAAGACUGGGAUAACUCCGGGAAACCGGGGCUAACACCGGAUAAUAUUUUGAACUGCAUGGUUCAAAAUUGAAAGGCGGCUUCGGCUGUCACUUAUGGAUGGACCCGCGUCGCAUUAGCUAGUUGGUGAGGUAACGGCUCACCAAGGCAACGAUGCGUAGCCGACCUGAGAGGGUGGUCGGCCACACUGGGACUGAGACACGGCCCAGACUCCUACGGGAGGCAGCAGUAGGGAAUCUUCCGCAAUGGACGAAAGUCUGACGGAGCAACGCCGCGUGAGUGAUGAAGGCUUUCGGGUCGUAAAACUCUGUUGUUAGGGAAGAACAAGUGCUAGUUGAAUAAGCUGGCACCUUGACGGUACCUAACCAGAAAGCCACGGCUAACUACGUGCCAGCAGCCGCCGUAA
rnacentral:rRNA from 1 species